UGGUAAUGCCGGAUGCUCCGACUCCUCGCAUGGGGUGUCGGGAAAGAUUUCAUCGGUAUGGGAUGGGGUCGCGUCCUAUCAGGUAGUCGGCGGGGUAACGGCCCACCGAGCCUACGACGGGUAGCCGGCCUGAGAGGGCGACCGGCCACAUUGGGACUGAGAUACGGCCCAGACUCCUACGGGAGGCAGCAGUGGGGAAUAUUGCACAAUGGGCGCAAGCCUGAUGCAGCGACGCCGCGUGCGGGAUGACGGCCUUCGGGUUGUAAACCGCUUUUGAUCGGGAGCAAGCCUUCGGGUGAGUGUACCUUUCGAAUAAGCACCGGCUAACUACGUGCCAGCAGCCGCGGUAAUACGUAGGGUGCAAGCGUUAUCCGGAAUUAUUGGGCGUAAAGGGCUCGUAGGCGGUUCGUCGCGUCCGGUGUGAAAGUCCAUCGCUUAACGGUGGAUCUGCGCCGGGUACGGGCGGGCUGGAGUGCGGUAGGGGAGACUGGAAUUCCCGGUGUAACGGUGGAAUGUGUAGAUAUCGAAAAAAAAACAC
rnacentral:rRNA from 1 species